AUCAUUUUGUAGCUCAUAAACAUGACUGGGUGUUCACACCGUUGUGUCACAUGUGCCUCCCUCAAAAGUUGUUACGACCUUGUCCCAUUACCCAUCUGAUG
rnacentral:snoRNA from 1 species